UCUCGAUCUUCGUGCUUCACUUCUCGAUAUUCACUGCUGUUUCAAAUCUUGAUAACUGGCGCUGAUGGUUUUACUAUUGAAGAAAUAAAGAUACGACAAGAUUUGUAACACAAACAUUAGCACUGACAAUGAAGAGUGGCACUGAAGACUAACACUAACACAAUCAUUCUCCCCUUCGCCGCGCCAGUUUAUAGCUUUGCGAUUGACAAUUGAUUAUUGAGAGUU
ensembl:ncRNA F43E12.7 ncRNA